CCUACGGGAGGCAGCAGUCGGGAAUCUUGCGCAAUGGGCGAAAGCCUGACGCAGCAACACCGUGUGGGCGACGAAGGCCUUCGGGUCGUAAAGCCCUGUUGUUGGGGACGAAGGGCGAAGGGUUAAUAGCCCCUAGCCUGACGGUACCCUUCGAGGAAGCCCCGGCUAACUACGUGCCAGCAGCCGCGGUAAUACGUAGGGGGCGAGCGUUGUCCGGAAUUAUUGGGCGUAAAGAGCGUGUAGGCGGUUCGGUAAGUCUGCCGUGAAAACCUGGGGCUCAACCCCGGGCGUGCGGUGGAUACUGCCGGGCUAGAGGGUGGUAGAGGCGAGUGGAAUUCCCGGUGUAGCGGUGAAAUGCGCAGAUAUCGGGAGGAACACCAGUAGCGAAGGCGGCUCGCUGGGCCAUUCCUGACGCUGAGACGCGAAAGCUAGGGGAGCGAACAGGAUUAGAUACCCUGGUAGUCCUAGCCGUAAACGAUGAACACUAGGUGUGGGGGGGGAGUCGAAUCCCCCUGUGCCGAAGCCAACGCGUUAUGUGUUCCGCCUGGGGAGUACGGCCGCAAGGCUAAAACUCAAAAGAAUUGACGGGGGCCCGCACAAGCAGCGGAGCAUGUUCUUUAAUUCGAUGCAACGCGAAGAACCUUACCUGGGCUUGACAUGGUGCUGCAAGCGCACGGAAACGUGUGACCUUCGAGGGUGCACCACAGAUGCUGCAUGGCUGUCGUCAGCUCGUGUCGUGAGAUGUUGGGUUAAGUCCCGCAACGAGCGCAACCCCCGUGGCGUGUUGCCAGCAUUAAGUUGGGGACUCACGCCAGACUGCCGGUGACAAACCGGAGGAAGGUGGGGAUGACGUCAAGUCAUCAUGGCUCUUACGUCCAGGGCUAGAAACGUGCUACAAUGGCGUACACAAAGGGCAGCAAGACCGCAAGGUGAGCGAAUCUCAUCAAAGUACGUCUAAGUUCGGAUCGGGUCUGCUACUCGACCCGUGAAGGCGGAGUUGCUAGUAAUCUCGGAUCCGCUGUCGCGGUGAAUACUUUCCCGCAAGGG
rnacentral:rRNA from 1 species